rnacentral:rRNA from 1 species
UACAGAGGUCCCAAGCGUUGUUCGGAUUCACUGGGCGUAAAGGGUGCGUAGGUGGUGAGGUAAGUCGGAUGUGAAAUCUCCAGGCUCAACCUGGAAAUGGCAUCGGAAACUACCUUGCUCGAGGUUUGGAGGGGGGACUGGAAUACUUGGUGUAGCAGUGAAAUGCGUAGAUAUCAAGUGGAACACCAGUGGCGAAGGCGGGUCCCUGGACAAAACCUGACACUGAGGCACGAAAGCGUGGGGAGCAAACAGG